rnacentral:rRNA from 1 species
UACGUAGGUGGCAAGCGUUACUCGGAAUCACUAGGCGUAAAGCGCAGGUAGGCGGUUCGGUAAGUCUGUUGUGAAAGCUCCCGGCUCAACUGGGAGAGGUCAACGGAAACUGCCGGGCUUGAGUGUGGUAGAGGUAGCUGGAAUUCCCGGUGUAGCGGUGAAAUGCGUAGAUAUCGGGAAGAACACCCGUGGCGAAGGCGGUUCUCUGGGACGGUACUGACGCUGAGACGCGAAAGCGUGGGGAGCGAACAGG